rnacentral:SRP_RNA from 1 species
GCUGGGUGCGAUGGCUUGUGCCUGUAAUCCCAGCUCCUGGGGAGGCUGAGGCUGUAGGAUUGCUUGAGCUCAGGGGUUGUGGGUUGCAGUUGGCCAUGCUGAUCAGGUGUCCACAUUAAAGUGAGCAUCAAUAUGGUGACCUGUGGGAAGCUGUAGGUUACCAAAUUGUCUAAGAAGGGGUGAACCGGCCCAGGUCAGGAAUGGAGCAGGCCAAAGUUCCUGUGCUGAGGAGUAGUGGGAUUGCACCUGUGAUUGAUCCCUGCAGCACAGCCUGGGUAGGAGAGUGAGACACAGUCUGU